rnacentral:rRNA from 1 species
AAAGCGCGCGUAGGUGGUUUGUUAAGUUGGAUGUGAAAGCCCCGGGCUCAACCUGGGAACUGCAUCCAAAACUGGCAAGCUAGAGUAUGGUAGAGGGUGGUGGAAUUUCCUGUGUAGCGGUGAAAUGCGUAGAUAUAGGAAGGAACACCAGUGGCGAAGGCGACCACCUGGACUGAUACUGACACUGAGGUGCGAAAGCGUGGGGAGCAAACAGGAUUAGAUACCCUUGU